AACUCUGAGCGGUGGAUCACUCGGCUCGUGCGUCGAUGAAGAGCGCAGCCAACUGCGUGAAUUAGUGUGAAUUGCAAGGAUAUCUUGAACAUCGACAUCU
rnacentral:rRNA from 1 species